UGGCAUGGGAUGUGAGGGAACAAUCUCCACCAGCAGAUUCUUUUUAAUGAUGCAAAAAUGUUUUGCAGUUUGGGAAUAAAUUCUAAACAGGAGGACUCUCUCAUUUGACAUUAAUUGCAAUGGUAGGAGGCCCAGAUACUUCUUUCAAAGUAGAAGGGAGCAAAAGCCAUUCGAGCAGCAUGGAGGUGAGGUGAUGAACAGGCCUGCUACUACUACCCCCACUCCACUUAGUCCCAUGGAAGGAAAAGAUGCUCUGCAUGUAUUCAGCUCCAUGGGUGAAGAAGGAAUGGGAAAACUGUGCUGUCACCACACUGUCUCCCACCAACUCAGCAGAGAAUACAUUAAGCUGUUGAGCCCUGGAGCCUUGCACUGGAUCUCUACUAUCAAAAGCUUCUGCUAGAGCACGUCUCCAAAUCACUGAGCUCUGAUAAACUGUUAGGUAUUUAAUACAGGCCUAAAUCUAUUAAAUGCAAA